GGUAUGAACAUGCACAUUUACUGUAAAAUCACAAAUUUUCGUGGGGGGUUAAUUUUCGUUGUUUUGGAGGUGUGGAGAGACCCACAAAUUCAUGUCCACCACGAAAUGUACAGUGUUACAUAUAAAUUUACUCAACAAUUCUUCAGCCACGAAAUCAAAUUCCAAGGAACCAAAUUUUUUCCUCAAACCAUGAAAGUUUGAACCCACGAAAAUAUGUGAUUUUACAGUAAGUAUGUUCACCUCUGGGUCAAACUAAUAAAGUUAAAUGUUAGAUCUGCUCGCAUACUUGCUACUCUAACAUCUAACAAUAUCCCAUCGAGGGUCACAUCUAAGGUCAAAUUCGGAACAACUGUAGACUUAUUCCUUUCAACAAAUAUUCAAUGAUUUUGCAGGCGACAAUUUGAUUGGAUGAUAGAAUCUGACCUCUGACUUGACCCUCUGUGAGAUGUUGUUACUAGAUGUUAGUGUAGCAAGUAUGCGAGCGGAUCUAACUCCUCUGGGUGUUUUUUAAAUUCACAGCUUUUAAGAGAGCAACAAAGAGUCUUGAUUUUUAAAGGGGUGCAGAUUUUAAAGAAAGAAAACUGUGUUGUAAAGAAAGAAGAAGAUUUUCCAUCAAAUAAUGGUGGAUGACAAAGUUCUUCCUAUGAAUGAUGUCAUAACCAACUUUGAAAAAAAAGUUGGUUGGAGAGAAAAGGAUCUGAAGAGGGAGAGAGAAUUUAUUAUAUUGAGAUGGAUUUAUA